AGGAUGAACGCUGGCGGCGUGCUUAACACAUGCAAGUCGAGCGAAGCAUUAAAACAGAUUUCUUCGGAUUGAGGUUUUUGUGACUGAGCGGCGGACGGGUGAGUAACGCGUGGGUGACCUGCCUCAUACAGGGGGAUAACAGACAGAAAUGUCUGCUAAUACCGCAUAAGCGCACAGUGCUGCAUGGCACAGUGUGAAAAACUCCGGUGGUAUGAGAUGGACCCGCGUCUGAUUAGCUAGUUGGUAAGGUAACGGCUUACCAAGGCGACGAUCAGUAGCCGGCCUGAGAGGGUGAACGGCCACAUUGGGACUGAGACACGGCCCAAACUCCUACGGGAGGCAGCAGUGGGGAAUAUUGCACAAUGGGGGAAACCCUGAUGCAGCGACGCCGCGUGAAGGAAGAAGUAUUUCGGUAUGUAAACUUCUAUCAGCAGGGAAGAAAAUGACGGUACCUGACUAAGAAGCCCCGGCUAACUACGUGCCAGCAGCCGCGGUAAUACGUAGGGGGCAAGCGUUAUCCGGAUUUACUGGGUGUAAAGGGAGCGUAGACGGCAUGGCAAGUCUGGUGUGAAAGGCAGGGGCUCAACCCCUGGACUGCAUUGGAAACUGUCAGGCUGGAGUGCAGGAGAGGUAAGUGGAAUUCCUAGUGUAGCGGUGAAAUGCGUAGAUAUUAGGAGGAACACCAGUGGCGAAGGCGACUUACUGGACUGUAACUGACGUUGAGGCUCGAAAGCGUGGGGAGCAAACAGGAUUAGAUACCCUGGUAGUCCAUGCCGUAAACGAUGAGUGCUAGGUGUAGAGGGUAUCGACCCCUUCUGUGCCGCAGUUAACACAAUAAGCACUCCGCCUGGGGAGUACGGCCGCGAAGGUUAAA
rnacentral:rRNA from 1 species